rnacentral:rRNA from 1 species
UACAGAGGGGGCAAGCGUUGUUCGGAAUUACUGGGCGUAAAGGGCGCGUAGGCGGCCUGUUAAGUCGAACGUGAAAUCCCCGGGCUCAACCCGGGAACUGCGUCCGAUACUGGCAGGCUUGAAUCCGGGAGAGGGAUGUGGAAUUCCAGGUGUAGUGGUGAAAUGCGUAGAUAUCUGGAGGAACACCGGUGGCGAAGGCGACAUCCUGGACCGGUAUUGACGCUGAGGCGCGAAAGCCAGGGGAGCAAACGGG